ACAUAUAAAGCGAUAAAUGCCGCGGGUCGUGCCUAUGGGCAUUAUAUUAUACAAUGUAAAACGUAUUCUUAUCAUACUCCAGUACGAUUAAUUUCAAGGGUACAAAGUAUUACGAAAUUAUCAAUAGGUCCGGGUAAUUAGGCUGUUUCAGUUUAAAAAUAUUUUAUAAAAAGCAUCUAUGAUAAGAUAAAUUGUUUGUUGUUGUGAAAAUAAUGUACAAACAACAUCUAGAUAGAGUAAAUUUAUAUAUCUACAAUAUUUGUUUGUAUGUAAUGUAAUUUUUUUAAGUUUUAAAAUGCUUUUACUGGAAUAAUAUUUUUUAAUAUAAAACUUUCUAUAAAAAUGUACAAAUACAAAUAAGUAUGGAUGACACCGGAAUCAGCAAGCAUGUACGAGGAAAAUUAUGAAAAUAGAAGAAAGAAGAGAUGCGGGAUGGUAAGGAUUACAAGAUCACACACUGCACAACAAAUAACCACUAAGUUAGAUGAGCUAUAAUUGGAAUGUCUGCGACAUCCACCGUAUUGCCCGGACCUUGCUCCAACAGAUUACCAUUUUUUCCGGAAUUUGGACAACUUCUUACAAGAAAAAAAAAUCAAUUCCGAUGCGGCAGUCCAAACCGCCUUCAAAGAGUUUAUUGAUUCUCGCCCCCGUGGUCUUUUUAGUAAAGGAAUCAAUGAACUACCUAUGAGAUGGCAAAAGUACAUAGAUAACAACGGUCUAUUUUGCCAAUAUAAAAGAAAAUAAGGGCAGUGAAUAAGAAAUAUGUUUAUUGCAAAUAUAUUUUUAACUGGAUUGCAAAAAAAGGAGGACAAUGUUUUUCGAAUUUGUAUAUUUCUUCGGAUUUUAAUAAAUGUAAUGUCAUAAGAUUAAUCUUAAUUAUUAUCGUGUAAUAUUACUUACCUUUUUAGUGACUAGAAUUUGUUUUUAUUGUUAGCUUUUGUAAUAUCUGUGUAUGUUACUAAAUACUUUUAUAUAAAUACUUUUUUUCUUUCUUUAGGUGACAGUAUGGAAAAAUCUCUACAAAAUUGAUUAGAUAUUAUUCUUAAAUUUACUGACAAUAUGGAGACGUAGCAUAAUUGCAUGGUUUACAAUAAUGAUUAUGGUCCUUUAUUACAAAGAUGUAUUGCAAUAAUUUAUUUAUUACAUUGUAUUAUUAAAGUAUAAAAACUCUUACAUCUUACAGUGUGGUAUUAGCAUUUACUUAUAGUAAAUAGGUAUUCACUAUAUUUAUAAGGUCAUCAGAGUAUUUUGACUCGUAGGCACGUUUCCGUAUUAUCAAUUUUGGCAUGUAUCGAAAGGUCAAGUAUAUUUAAGUACCUUGAUCCUUUCCUUAAAAUAUGCAUUUUAAUGUCAGAUUAAUUAUAUCUCAACAAUAAGAAUUACGCCAAGGUCUUUUAUUGUCUGAAGAUGACUUAUAUGAAGUACCUACAUAAUUAACUACUAGUAUUUAUCAGGAAUAUCAUUAAAUAUUGUGCUACAUAUACCUACGAUUCAUGGUUAAUUCGUUCCAUGUUUUGUUUGUGUAAUUGUUGGAUUUUUUAUUCAAUGAGAAGUUCUAACCUAUAAAGUUACCGUAUAAAUAAAAAUCUAACUAUAUGUAUUUAAGUCGUAAGUUUCAAUAGGUAAUAAUACAAGGGUAUGACUUUUCUUAAAUAUUUCGAUUAAAUUAAAAUAAAUUUAAUUUAUUACCUAUAUCUUUUAUAUGUUAGAAUUUAUCUGACAUAAAAAGAAAUAAAUUAAUAAAUAAAAACUUUGGAAAAACAGCGUU